rnacentral:rRNA from 1 species
GACGAACGCUGGCGGCGUGCUUAACACAUGCAAGUCGAACGGAAAGGCCCUGCUUUUGUGGGGUGCUCGAGUGGCGAACGGGUGAGUAACACGUGAGUAACCUGCCCUUGACUUUGGGAUAACUUCAGGAAACUGGGGCUAAUACCGGAUAGGAGCUCCUGCUGCAUGGUGGGGGUUGGAAAGUUUCGGCGGUUGGGGAUGGACUCGCGGCUUAUCAGCUUGUUGGUUGGGUAGUGGCUUACCAAGGCUUUGACGGGUAGCCGGCCUGAGAGGGUGACCGGCCACAUUGGGACUGAGAUACGGCCCAGACUCCUACGGUGGGCAGCAGUGGGGAAUAUUGCACAAUGAGCGGAAGCCUGAUGCAGCAACGCCGCGGGCGUGAUGACGGCCUGCGGGUUGUAAACCGCUUUCGCCUGUGACGAAGCGGGAGUGACGGUAAUGGGUAAAGAAGCACCGGCUAACUACGUG